CCCCCUCUCCCCUGUCUCUGUCCCACUUUCUGCCUCUGUUCCCCCCCGGCUCUGCCCUUUCCCCGCACUGUCCCCCCUCGCCCUCCUCCGCGGCCAUGCCCCAGGCGGCGGGAAGGCGGCCGGGCGUCCGGCUGGGCUGGGCCUGGGCUUGGCGGCUGGGCCGGCGUGGGGAGCGGCAGCUGUUUGCCAUUAGCCGGGGAUCCCACAGGCCCCGCCCCCUCUCUGCACGGGGCGGGGUCCUUCUCGCCUCCCCCCACCCCGAGUUUGGGGCGGGAAGACCCCCCCACCACCACCACCGACCUCCGCGAUGUGCAGGCCGGUCUUGGGUGGUGGGUUGGGGAGACCCGCGCCCCUUCCCUGCGCUCCCUACCUGUCCCCUCAUAUAGGCUCCAGUCUCUCCAUCUCUGUCUUAUCCUGUCACCCUUUCCCCAUUCCCCAGGGGUCCCAUGGCGAGAGAAGGGUCUCAGCCACAGACAUCCAUCUCCCCCACCACACCCCCUCGUCUCCUUUCUCUUCCCCUUACUCGGACGUGCUGGUCCUCAUCGAGGGCGGUGAGAUGACUGAGGACCCUCAGACCUCAGUCUCCGUAUCUGGGAAACGGGUAGAGAUAUCUGAUGUGGGGUCUGAGGGUGGUGGCUUGGUGGGCAGUGGGGGGAUCCACCAGGCUUAGGUUCACGUUCAGGCCCAGCCACUUCCCCAUGGCCCCAGUGACCCCGAGGCAAGCCGCGGUACCUUUCCGUACCCUCUGCAUCCCCUGUCUGUGAAACGGGGCGAUAAGUGCCCAUCUCAUAGAAUUGUCAUGACAAUUAAAAGAGUUGAUGUUAGGCUGGGUGCAGUGGCUCAUGCCUGUAAUCCCAGCACUUUGGGAGGCCAAGGCGGGUGGAUCACCUGAGGUCGGGAGUUCGAGACCAGCCUGACCAACAUGGAGAAACACCAUCUCUACUAAAAAUACAGAAUUAGCUAGGCGUGGUGGCAGGUGCCUGUAAUCCCAGCUACUCGGGAGGCUGAGGCAGGAGAAUCGCUUGAACCUGGGAGGCAGAGGUUGCCGUGAGCUGAGAUCGCGCCAUUGCACUCCAGCAUGGGCAACAAGAGCAAAACUCCGUCUCAGAAAAAAAAAAAAAAAAAAAAAAAAAA
rnacentral:sRNA from 1 species